AUUUUUAUUUUAUUUAAAUAUGGAAGUUAAUAACAUUGAUAUUAAAUUGUACUGAACAAUGCUCAUUUGCCUCUACAGAAAGUUAUAGUUGCUCUCUUCGCCAUCCGAGGUUAUGAUGAGAAGCCAGAGGUUGCUCUGCCAAGUCGACUAAAUUAUAAAGUGACUGGGACAGAGAGUGCAUUGAAAAAGAAGAUCCAGGAAUCCAAGAGCGGCCGCUUUUUAGAGAAGGACAAACGCCUUCUGGAAGAGCUGAAGAGCCUGCACUGUGACCCACACCCAUUCUGCACUGUUUUGCCUUCAGAGUCAGACUUUACAUUUUUGGAAGAUUCUCAUGCAAGGCCCUCCUGAUACACCUUAUGAGGAUGGAGUCUUUGAGUUGUACUGUCAGUUUGGGGCUGACUACCCCGUCAAACCUCCACUUGUGCGCUUUGUCACACCUUGUGGGUCGUAUCUGGCACAACAUAUUUGGUCGCAGCUACAAUACUCCCAUAACCAUGAGAGAGAUCUUGGAUGCUGUGGAUGGAGUUCAUCAGCUCAUCGUUCCUGAACCCCAAGAUCCACUGGACAGAGGAAUACCUGACCAGCAGAUACAAGUAUGAAGAAGAGGCCAAGAAAAACACAGAGGAAGUUGCAGGCCAUUCAUUGGAUGACAGAGAGAAGAAAUUGUUGGGUGAAGAGUUGACUGAGAAGUUCAUACCCUCACACCUGAUUUGUCCCCUCACCAACAAGAUGUUUGUUGACCCAGUGAAGAACCAGGAGGGAACCGUGUACGAGCGAAAGGCCAUUGGGAAACAUCUGAAGAAGUAAGCGUGUUACUGGAUUAUUCAUAUUGAUAAGUCAUUAUUUAUGAUUCAUAAUUAACGUGUUACUUUUAUAAAGUAAUCCAAAAAUAUUAAGCUAAUGUUGUUAUGUGUGGUUGUUUCAUUGGCUGCUUCUGAGUUUGUUUAAACACAGGCCACAUUCAUGUAUUAAUCGUGGGCUCAAAUAUUACUAAAUGACUGUUAGUUUAUUUACAAAAUACAUUUUUCGUAUUCCCUUACGUGCAGAACUGAAAUAACACAUUGCUAGCAACUAUGUGACAAUUCGGUGUCAGUAUUUUUUGUGUCACAUUGCAAUAGGCUUAGAAAGCCGACUGAUUGACAAUUCUUCAAACAGGAAAGUAUUCGCCAACUGUAAACAUUUUAAAAUGAAUUAACUAAUUAAAUUAAUUAUUUGACCACUAUUUUUUGAGAAUGGUUUACUGUCUUCCUAACUUUUACAGGACAUGUAUUGGGACAGAUCCCAAAACAAACAAGUUACUGACAUUAACUGAUCUCAAGCCAUACCAAGACAUGAGAAAAAUGGUGAGGGAUUAUCGCAAACAGCAAAUUGAGGAGACAGAUGUUUAAAACACAAUGUGGUAGCAAAAAUGUAGCCUUCCUGCCUUGUAGCCUACACUUUUUGGUGAAAAUGAUGAUGGAACUAACGUUACCCCACCCAUUGGGUUAUUAAAGUAUGCUAACAAUUGUAUGUAACUGAUAUUUGUACUGACAUUUUCUAGAGGGAAUAGGCCUUCAUUUCUUUGGGGUUUGUACUUGAUUAUAAACUGGAUGGUUCGAGCCCUGAAUGCUGAUUGGCUGACAGCCGUGGUAUAUCA